rnacentral:lncRNA from 1 species
AGGCGCUGGAGUUGGGGCAAAAGGGAGAGGGAGGGAGCCCGAAACUCGCGGCGGCGGCCAAUCGGCUCUCACUGCCGUCCAAUCGCAAGACCUAGCUGCAGUGUGAUUGGCCUUCGGCCCCGGUCCCAGGAGCGGGGAGAUGCCUGACUCGGGUCGUGGCUGACGACCCGACGGUUCGCCUGCGGCCGCCUCCAACAACGGUGGAAACCGCACACAGGGACCGCGGGCCCUCGGUGCAGCAAAUCGGAAAGUGCUGCGGUCGGCGGCCCUGGGCUCUGAGCGCUCAAGCGAGCAGAGGGGUGGAGGGGCUCUCCCCACCCACAGGAGGCUCUCGGCGGGGCGCAGCCAAUUCUGCGCGCCCAAGGCUCCCCUCUGCCGUGGAUCGCGUGUGCCGAGUGUUGGCCUCUUCCCCGAAAGGGCCAGACGGACCAAGGGGGCCUUCCCAGCCGGCUGCAAGCUCUCAGACGCUAAAAUGGGAACAAAGCUUCCAGAAAGGCAGCGCCUUUGGGCGGCCGCGCCCCGCCCAGCCGCGGGGGCCAUUGAUACAGAGGCUUGCUGCGCUUGGUGUGCGCGGCCCGGCCGGGCCUCUGGAAACGCCCAUGAGAAAUGAGCUCAUGCUGGAUGCGCGCGCUCCUUGGGCGCAACUGCCCAGCGCAAAACGGGCCCCGAAAGCAGGUGAGUGGAGGACACUUCAAUCUAAAGUGAUCUUAAAGGAGGAGUAGUAGGAUUUGAAGAUGAAGAAAGAAGAGGGGAGGUAAAUUACUUUCCAUCACUUCAAUUUCAACCCAUCAGAUAAAACCUCUCUUUAGUAAACCUGCAUGUGGGUGGAGCUGUAACAGCAAUUAAGGACAGUGUGACUCUGUUCUUCUGACUUUGGGAAAACCAGUUUGGCUGGAACAAAAAGCUGAUAGAGAAGACUAAUGGAAGAUAAGGUUGAAAAGGUAGGUUUGAGGGAGCUUUGUUACAGGAAAAAAAAAAAAAAAAAACUGGGCUUUGUCCUGUAGACAGUGGAGAGGUACUUUAGCAGAUGUAAGACAUUACCAUUAUAGGAAAGCCUCUGAAGUAACAUACACUGUGGUUUUUCCUGUUGCUGAAAAUAUGCCCAGAGUAACAAGAUGUGGCAUAGUUGGUUAUGUGUCUUAUAACCAGUGAGGUGUGCCCAAAUGGGAAAUUAAUGAAUGACUACCCAAAAAGAAGAGGGAGAGUGUUUGAAACACUGUCACUGUGAAAUAGACUGGUUGUAUGAAAAGUUGCAUAUCAAGCCUUUGGCAAAUUAUAUAAAUACUCUGAUUUUGACAUCUUAAAGGAGUAUACUAUAGAAAAUAAAAGAAAAACACUUGAAUCUGUUACAGGAAACGGGUCAUGAUCCAGACCCCAGGAGAGGGUUCUUGGAUCUCACACAAGAAAGAAUUCAGGGUGACCCCACAGUGCAAAAGUCAAAGCAAGUAUUAAGAAAAUGAAGGAAUAACAGAAUGGCUACUACAUAGAGCAGCCCUGAGGGCUGCUGGUUGCCCUUUUUUUUUUUUCCUUUGAGAUGGAGUUUUCGUUCUUGUUGCCCAGGCUGGAGUGCAAUGGCGUGAUCUCGGCUCACCACAACCUCCACCUCCCAGGUUCAAGCAAUUCUGCCUCAGCCUCCCGAGUAGCUGAGAUUACAGGCAUGCGCCACCACGCCCGGCUAAUUUUGUGUUUUUAGUAGAGUGAGGGUUUCUCCAUGUUGGUCAGGUUGGUCUUGAACUUCCGACCUCAGUUGAUCUGCCCGCCUUGGCCUCCCAAAGUACUGGGAUUACAGGCAUAAGCCACCGCACCUGGCCUGGUUGCCCAUUCUUUAUGGUCGUUUCUUGAUGAUAUGCUAACCAAGGAGUGGAUUAAUCAUGCCUCCCCUUUUUGGACCACAUAGGGUCUAAACUGUCAUGGCACAUUUGUAAACUGUCAUGGCACUGGUGGGAGUGUAGCAGUGAGGACGACCAGAGGUCACUCUCGUCGCCAUUUUGGUUUUGGUGGGUUUUGGCCAGCUCCUUUACUGCAACCUGUUUUAUCAGCAAGGUCUUUAAGACCUGUAUUUUGUGCUGACCUCCUAUCUCAUCCUGUGACUUAGAAUGCCUUAACUGACCAUCUGGGAAUGCAGCCCAAUAGAUUUCACCCUCAUUUUGCCCGGCUCCUGUUUAAGAUGGAGUUGCUCUGGUUCACAUGCCUCUAACAAAUCCUUUUAGUUUUUCAUGCUUGUCACAUGUUUACUUCUAAGGGUAUAAUCAUGUGGUUUACUAUAUUAUUACCGAUUAGAUUAUUUUGAACUACUUCAAUUUUAUUUAUUUUACCUCAUUUCCAUUCACAUUUUUUGAAAAGAGCUUUUUUAUACAAGAGUGUAAAUAUUUUCACAUUGAAUAAAUGAAUUGAAAACAGUA